UGCGUAAUUACACUUAAAUCCAGUUAGGGUUUAAGGAAAAUAAAUCUAUUAUUCAAUUCAAGAAUUUGGGGUAAAUGUUUGCUUCACCAUUUUUGUAUAACUUGAAGCUUUGGCACUAAACCCAUCAGCCUUUUCUCCAAAAAUAUCCCUCCCAAACCCUAUCUAUAAAACCCCAAAGACAAGAACAAGCUCUCAAGAAAGAGAACUCGUUUGUUCUCUAAUUCAAUGGAGCUAGAGGAUAGCAUUUUAGAUUUCUCCGAUGAAGAUGAGAGCUUUGAGGAUGAUGAAGAUGUUAAAAUGAAUGAUAUUGAGGAAGGAGAACUGGUUGAGAAGAUUUCCAAGACUGGAUUAGAGGAAAUGGGUGGUGCAUGUGCCAGCUCUACAAAUCCUAAUUCAGGCAAAAAAAAUCGUAGACGCAGGAAGAACAAGGGGAAGAACAAACGUAAGAGAGUUUCUUCAGGUCCAAUCACAGACAUUAACAGAUUCGUUUUGGAUGUCGGUAAACGCUUGAAAGAGAAGAAAUCUUAUCUCAUAUGGACUGCAGUUGGUUGUCUCGGCGUAUCUGCUUUGAGUGAUCUUGUCAAAGAGGUGGAUGCAAUUCAGACUUGUGGUGGCCAGAAGACAGCUGAUGGCAGGCGUUACCGAACAGGUGGUGGAAUAUUGUGGAGCAUCCUUAAAGUACGAGAUCCAAAUGCAUACAAAGAGAUAAUGAAGAAAGGGAAGGAGUUUGAGAAGCAGUUUAGGCAGGCUAAUCUCAAGCAAGAACCGCUCCAAAACAAAGAAGCUUCUUUGGAGAGAUCUAGUCAGACAAUGGGAGACAAGAUUACAGCCAGUUCUUCAGAUGUUUUGCUGCAGCAAGAUCCUGUUGAACAGUCAGAUAGUGGAGCAAAACGUGCAUCUGUUCAUGAUAGAAUAAGGAUGCCCGUCACCUAUGAUGAUCUAUUUGAUGAAGGGAAGGAUUCAAAGGAUCUGUUGGAUUUAAUUCCUUCAGAAAAAAGCUCAUAUGAUGUGGUGGAGUGAGGUGAUCCUAAGGGUAUAUAAAGUUGACGUGAGUUACAAAUUACGAUCAGCUAAGACUAGGGGAUUUGAGAAAUGAAUCAACUUGAUUUUUUGAUAAAGCCUCAUACUACAGCUUGUCCAGUUGAAUUUCACUUAUGAACCUCUAGAAUACUGAGGGAAGAGAAGCAAAUCGUAUUGCUUGUUGGCCACUAUAGAUGGGUUGUAUUUUUUGUCUGUAAAUUCUUUUGAAUGAAACUUGCCAAAUCAUGGCCAUAGUUAUGAAGUUUUACAUGGUGCCUAGGGCUUCUGGAUGUUUUGAUAACAACGUAAUGAUUAGGUGAAAAGAUGCUCAAUUCUUUUGUGA